CUUAAACAAUCAUGACAUUUAUUAAAAAACAUACUCUAUUCUAUUUCAGGUGUUCACUCAUCUUUGCCUGUUCAGCCUGCUCCAUCAAUUGUUGAGCAACCUACCCCAUCAACAUCUAAAGGUAUCCACUCAUCAUUGCCCUUACAAGAUGUAACUAACAUGACAAGGGAAACCAUGUUUUCGGGUCAGAGAUGUGAACAGGUGCUGCAGCCAACUGUUCUACCUCCAAAUCAGCCGGCUCCAUCAAUAUUUGAGCAACCUGCCCCACCUACAUCCAAAGGAAAACAAGGUGUCAAAAGAAAUAUUUUCAGUUUUGACACAGAGACAAUUAUGCUAAAAAGUAAAAUAAAAAAAUUACAAGGACAAAAGGAUUCUGCAAUGACAAGAUUGAAGAAAGCAUUAAAAUUGUCAGAAAAUGCAACAUUUAAGAAAGCACUUAGCAAAUUUUCACCAGCAGCAAAUAUUUUCACCAUGCUACAAUUUCGAGAGUCAGGGAAGCAUAAAUUAGGUUGCCGAUUUAAUAAGGACGAAAAAGUGAUGGCCUUAUCCCUGUAUAAACAGGGGCCCAGAGCAUAUCGCUGGCUAAGAAAGUUUUAGUACUG